GACGAACGCUGGCGGCGUGCUUAACACAUGCAAGUCGAACGGAAAGGCCCUGCUUGCAGGGUACUCGAGUGGCGAACGGGUGAGUAACACGUGGGUGAUCUGCCCUGCACUUCGGGAUAAGCUUGGGAAACUGGGUCUAAUACCGGAUAGGAGCCAUCUUUAGUGUGGUGGUUGGAAAGUUUUUUCGGUGUAGGAUGAGCUCGCGGCCUAUCAGCUUGUUGGUGGGGUAAUGGCCUACCAAGGCGGCGACGGGUAGCCGGCCUGAGAGGGUGUACGGCCACAUUGGGACUGAGAGACGGCCCAGACUCCUACGGGAGGCAGCAGUGGGGAAUAUUGCACAAUGGGCGCGAGCCUGAUGCAGCGACGCCGCGUGGGGGAUGAAGGCCUUCGGGUUGUAAACUCCUUUCGCUAGGGACGAAGCGUUUUUGUGACGGUACCUAGAUAAGAAGCACCGGCUAACUACGUG
rnacentral:rRNA from 1 species